AUGGAGAUGUAUCAUUAUUUUUUAAAGUUUUCGAUGGCGACACAUUUGGUUCUCUACUGGCUGAUUGACUGAAAUAUUUGCGAUGAAUAUUCAUGCUUGUGGCAAUCAAUUUCUGUAGCUUUUUUCUUGCUUUUUUUUAGUCUUUUGCUCUAAAUCAUUUAGAACUCUUCCUGACAGCUAUAUGAUUGCUUCUGAAGUUGUCUUUCCUAGUACCACUCUGUGCUUUUCUGAUGAUCGACAAAUCAACCCAAUCACCAUCUCUAUAAUGAAGUAG
rnacentral:lncRNA from 1 species